AGUGAACGCUGGCGGUAGGCCUAACACAUGCAAGUCGAACGGCAGCACAGUAAGAGCUUGCUCUUACGGGUGGCGAGUGGCGGACGGGUGAGGAAUACAUCGGAAUCUACUUUUUCGUGGGGGAUAACGUAGGGAAACUUACGCUAAUACCGCAUACGACCUACGGGUGAAAGCAGGGGAUCUUCGGACCUUGCGCGAUUGAAUGAGCCGAUGUCGGAUUAGCUAGUUGGCGGGGUAAAGGCCCACCAAGGCGACGAUCCGUAGCUGGUCUGAGAGGAUGAUCAGCCACACUGGAACUGAGACACGGUCCAGACUCCUACGGGAGGCAGCAGUGGGGACUAUUGGACAAUGGGCGCAAGCCUGAUCCAGCCAUACCGCGUGGGUGAAGAAGGCCUUCGGGUUGUAAAGCCCUUUUGUUGGGAAAGAAAAGCAGCAGGUUAAUCCACGGCUGUUCUGACGGUACCCAAAGAAUAAGCACCGGCUAACUUCGUG
rnacentral:rRNA from 1 species